AUGCUGGGAAAUAGCUACAGAGUAGGUGGUGUGCCUCAGCCCAGCCAGUGUACCCAUUCCAGGAUUUCGUCACUGCCUUGGGAGGUGGAACUACUUGCAACAGCAGUUUAUUAUUUUUUUCUUUCUCCUUCUCUCACUCCCCCACUACCACUGUGUGUCUCACUGUGUGUCUCACUCCCCCACUACCACUGUGUCUCACUCCCCCACUACCACUGUGUGUCUCACUGUGUGUCUCACUCCCCCACUACCACUGUGUGUCUCACUGUGUGUCUCACUCCCCCACUACCACUGUGUGUCUCACUGUGUGUCUCACUCCCCCACUACCACUGUGUGUCUCACUGUGUGUCUCACUCCCCCACUACCACUGUGUGUCUCACUGUGUGUCUCACUGUGUGUCUCACUCCCCCACUACCACUGUGUGUCUCACUGUGUGUCUCACUCCCCCACUACCACUGUGUGUCUCACUGUGUGUCUCACUCCCCCACUACCACUGUGUGUCUCACUGUGUGUCUCACUGUGUGUCUCACUCCCCCACUACCACUGUGUGUCUCACUGUGUGUCUCACUGUGUGUCUCACUCCCCCACUACCACUGUGUGUCUCACUGUGUGUCUCACUCCCCCACUACCACUGUGUCUCACUCCCCCACUACCACUGUGUGUCUCACUGUGUGUCUCACUGUGUGUCUCACUCCCCCACUACCACUGUGUGUCUCACUGUGUGUCUCACUCCCCCACUACCACUGUGUGUCUCACUGUGUGUCUCACUCCCCCACUACCACUGUGUGUCUCACUGUGUGUCUCACUCCCCCACUACCACUGUGUGUCUCACUGUGUGUCUCACUGUGUGUCUCACUGUGUGUCUCACUCCCCCACUACCACUGUGUGUCUCACUGUGUGUCUCACUGUGUGUCUCACUCCCCCACUACCACUGUGUGUCUCACUGUGUGUCUCACUGUGUGUCUCACUCCCCCACUACCACUGUGUGUCUCACUGUGUGUCUCACUCCCCCACUACCACUGUGUGUCACACUGUGUGUCUCACUGUGUGUCUCACUGUGUGUCUCACUGUAGUAGAGACCAACUCACUGGAUGUUUAGAUAUAGGUUUUUUUUGUGACUGGUUGUGUUCAGUACCACAUGAUUUUCAGUGGUUCUAA
rnacentral:lncRNA from 1 species